rnacentral:rRNA from 1 species
GACAGAGGGUGCAAACGUUGUUCGGAAUUACUGGGCGUAAAGAGCUCGUAGGCGGUUUGUCGCGUCUGCUGUGAAAACUCGGGGCUUAACCCCGGGCCUGCAGUGGGUACGGGCAGACUAGAGUGCGGUAGGGGAGACUGGAAUUCCUGGUGUAGCGGUGAAAUGCGCAGAUAUCAGGAGGAACACCGGUGGCGAAGGCGGGUCUCUGGGCCGUAACUGACGCUGAGGAGCGAAAGCGUGGGGAGCGAACAGG